CCUACGGGUGGCUGCAGUGGGGAAUAUUGGACAAUGGGGAGAACCCUGAUCCAGCCAUGCCGCGUGUGUGAAGAAGGCCCUCGGGUUGUAAAGCACUUUCAGUGAGGAAGAACGCCUGGUGGUUAAUACCCAUCAGGAAAGACAUCACUCACAGAAGAAGCACCGGCUAACUCCGUGCCAGCAGCCGCGGUAAUACGGAGGGUGCGAGCGUUAAUCGGAAUUACUGGGCGUAAAGCGCGCGUAGGUGGCUUGAUAAGCCGGUUGUGAAAGCCCCGGGCUCAACCUGGGAACGGCAUCCGGAACUGUCAAGCUAGAGUGUAGGAGAGGAAGGUAGAAUUCCCGGUGUAGCGGUGAAAUGCGUAGAGAUCGGGAGGAAUACCAGUGGCGAAGGCGGCCUUCUGGACUGACACUGACACUGAGGUGCGAAAGCGUGGGUAGCAAACAGGAUUAGAUACCCCGGUAGUC
rnacentral:rRNA from 1 species